rnacentral:tRNA from 1 species
GUGGGUAUAGCUCAACCGGCAGAGCAUUGGACUGUGGCUCCAAAUGUUGCGGGUUCAAGUCCCGUUACCCACC